rnacentral:rRNA from 1 species
UACGUAGGGGGCAAGCGUUGUCCGGAAUUAUUGGGCGUAAAGAGCGUGUAGGCGGUCCGGUAAGUCAGCUGUGAAAGUCAAGGGCUCAACCCUUGAAAGCCGGUUGAUACUGUCGGGCUAGAGUCCGGAAGAGGCGAGUGGAAUUCCCGGUGUAGCGGUGAAAUGCGUAGAGAUCGGCAGGAACACCCAGGGGGAAACCAGCCGACUGGGCAAGUGCUGACGCUGAGGUGCGAGAGCGUGGGGAGCGAACCGG